rnacentral:lncRNA from 1 species
AAAAGAUUUUUGUCAUUCUUGGCAUUGGACAGCAGAAGUGGUAAGACAUGCCAGCAGAACUCUAAAGGCAGAAUGUCCUUCCACCUGUUUUAUGCUGUAAGACAAACUUCCAAGUGCGAGGCAGUGUGGAGGACUGUUUCCUUGAAUGGCAACUGAAUGCACCAGCGGGAUCCUUGGCAGCAAUGCCCAGGCACUGAAGCCGGGCAUUCAGGAGAGCUAAAUGGAGAAAAAAAACUUGAGCAAACUGCUUCCUGGAACACUGAGAACCUGAAUGGGAAAUUAAGAAGAACCAGAUUCUUUCUAUUCUUCCACCAGCCAAGGUCAGAUUUCCAAACUCCUAUUGAUUCUAAUCUUUCCCAAACAGUGCUGUGGCAAUGUAUGAAAGUAAUAAAAAUAAUCCUUUUUCUGUUAAAAAAAAAAAUUGCUGUUACUUGCUGUUUUGUUAUACUUUUGCUCGAGAACAUUUCCCCCCAUCUUAAAGCAGCAACUUCAGGAUGGGGGAAUCAAGCAAAACCAUGGUGAAGAGAUUUAAAGAGGACAAGUGACUUAUUCUACAUCUCAGGAGACAGUUCCUUAAGGUGAUGAUCAUAAAAGGAUCCAUCUUAUACAGUGCUUGCCAUCUUCCACAAUACUACUCACCACAAUGCUGAAAUCACCUGUUCCAGAACCAAUCCUGUCCUUUGACAAGAAGAAUUUAAUUAUCAGUUCUGGUGGGGACCGGCUGGAGAGGGAAAACACUUCAAGGACUCUGCCACCAUUCCCAGAUGGAGAGUGCAGAGUUUGUACCAUGGAACUCCUUCUCUAACAGUUACUCUGUGGCAGUGCCUAUUUUGAACCUCCCUUAACUUCUGAUUGUAUAGAUGUUUGUUUCAUUUGUUCAUCUGUUUGUUCACUUAAUCACAGCUGUCUUAAGCCUUAAGAGAGAUAGUGGACUAGAAAGUGCCUUGGAAAGGUACAAAGCUCAAUCCAAGUAACAUAACUUGAAUAUCAAAGAUGUAUUUACUAUAGGUUACCAGUUCCGCUCUUGUUUGUUUGUUUGUUUUUAAAGUAGGAACUUAUGAAGCCUAAAAUAUAAAAUGUAUAUACAUGGAUAUGCUCUGAAGUGAGGUAGAGGGGUAGAAAUCAACAUUGUGAUACUGUACUAUAGCUUUGCAAGAUGUUACCACUGGGGGAAAAUGCUUGAAGCACACACAGGAUAUCUCUGUCUUAUUUCUUACAACUGCAUGUGAAUCUACAGUUAUCUCAAAAUAAAAAUUUAAUUAACAGUU